CAAAGGUGUAUAUGGAACACUGAAAACUAGAAAGCUCUCCUAUCACAAAAUGUAUCUGUACACAAUACUAACAGCUGAGAGGCACCUUGAGGAAGCGAGCAUCAUGAAAAAGAGUUAACCAACAAAAGCAAUCAUGUGUCUUUUGUGGUGGUGCCAGAAACUGGAGAGAACCAGGUGUAUUAUCCACAGUCCCAUUCAUCAUUUCAGAGAAGUGGACAAGAUGUGCCUCAUGAUCUCUGGCAGCUCAGAUGGGAGUGGGAAGCACAAUCAGGUACAGGAAAUCUGCUGUGGACUGGCCUCUACACAGCAGAAAAGGCCAAAACCAGAGCUUGACCAUGGAUGAAGAAAGCUGCCCAAAACAGGAGUGCAGCCUGAAGAGCCAGGAGUACUCAGGUUUUCUUUCACAGGCAGGAGGGAUAUCUGUUCUACUCUGAAAAGUCUCCCUGCUAUGAUCCUGAGGAUCCAUCCAGUGUUCUGGAUGUAGCAUCAUAUCUGAAAUCAAGCAAUGUGCAAAGAUACAGAAACCAUUGUGCCAAUUAACUCCUGAAUCUUCUUAGGAAUCAAGACUGUCUUCUUAGGUAAGUCCAGUAUUUGACACUGAUAAAAUGGACAGUGAUCUUUAGCUCUUGAUUUAAACUCUUG
rnacentral:lncRNA from 1 species